UACGUAGGGACCGAGCGUUGUCCGGAAUCAUUGGGCGUAAAGAGCGUGUAGGCGGCCAAUUAAGUCCUGCGUGAAAUCUCGGGGCUCAACCCCGAGCGGUCGUGGGAAACUGGUUGGCUAGAGUCCGGAAGAGGAGAGUGGAAUUCCCGGUGUAGCGGUGAAAUGCGCAGAUAUCGGGAAGAACACCUAUGGCGAAGGCAGCUCUCUGGGACGGUACUGACGCUGAGACGCGAAGGCGUGGGGAGCGAACAGG
rnacentral:rRNA from 1 species